rnacentral:rRNA from 1 species
GUAGGUGGCAAGCGUUGUCCGGGAAUUAUUGGGGCGUAAAGCGCGCGCAGGCGGUUCUUUAAGUCUGAUGUGAAAGCCCACGGGCUCAACCGUGGAGGGUCAUUGGAAACUGGAGAACUUGAGUACAGAAGAGGAAAGCGGAAUUCCACGUGUAGCGGCGAAAUGCGUAGAGAUGUGGAGGAACACCAGUGGCGAAGGCGGCUUUCUGGUCUGUAACUGACGCUGAGGCGCGAAAGCGUGGGGAGCAAACAGGAUUAGAUACCCUGGUAGUCCACGCCGUAAACGAUGAGUGCUAAGUGUUAGGGGGUUUCCGCCCCUUAGUGCUGCAGCUAACGCAUUAAGCACUCCGCCUGGGGAGUACGGCCGCAAAGGCUG